GCGGUCAUCGUCUAUCGGUAAGACAUCGGUUUGUGGUACCGAGAAGCUGGGUUCAACUCCCAGUGACCGCC
rnacentral:tRNA from 1 species